UACGUAGGGGUCUAGCGUUGUCCGGAAUCACUGGGCGUAAAGGGCGCGUAGGUGGUUUGAUAAGGGUGUGGUGAAAGUCCGGAGCUCAACUCCGGAUCUGCCGUGCCGACUGUCAAACUCGAGGGCUGUAGAGGCAGACGGAAUUCCGGGUGUAGCGGUGGAAUGCGUAGAGAUCCGGAGGAAGACCGGUGGCGAAGGCGGUCUGCUGGGCAGUUCUGACACUGAGGCGCGACAGCGUGGGGAGCAACAGGG
rnacentral:rRNA from 1 species